AGCAGCCGCGGUAAUUCCAGCUCCAAUAGCGUAUAUUAAAGUUGUUGCAGUUAAAAAGCUCGUAGUUGAAUUUCGGGAUCAAUAUGUUGGUCGUGCCUUGGUACGUACUAGUUUAUUGGUUUCUUCCUUCUGACGAACCAUGAUGUCAUUAAUUUGGUGUCUUGGGGAAUCAGGACUGUUACUUUGAAAAAAUUAGAGUGUUUAAAGCAGGCUCACGCUUGAAUACAUUAGCAUGGAAUAAUGAAAUAGGACGUUUGAUUCUAUUUUGUUGGUUUCUAGGAUCGACGUAAUGAUUAAUAGGGAUAGUUGGGGGCAUUAGUAUUCAAUUGUCAGAGGUGAAAUUCUUGGAUUUAUUGAAGACUAACUACUGCGAAAGCAUUUGCCAAGGAUGUUUUCAUUAAUCAAGAACGAAAGUUAGGGGAUCGAAGACGAUCAGAUACCGUCGUAGUC
rnacentral:rRNA from 1 species